UACGUAGGGUGCGAGCGUUGUCCGGAAUUACUGGGCGUAAAGAGCUCGUAGGCGGCUUGUCGCGUCGUUCGUGAAAACCCACAGCUCAACUGUGGGCUUGCGGUCGAUACGGGCAGGCUAGAGUUCGGUAGGGGAGACUGGAAUUCCUGGUGUAGCGGUGAAAUGCGCAGAUAUCAGGAGGAACACCGGUGGCGAAGGCGGGUCUCUGGGCCGAUACUGACGCUGAGGAGCGAAAGCGUGGGGAGCGAACAGG
rnacentral:rRNA from 1 species